rnacentral:rRNA from 1 species
CCUACGGGGGGCAGCAGUGAGGAAUAUUGGUCAAUGGACGCGAGUCUGAACCAGCCAAGUAGCGUGAAGGAUGACUGCCCUAUGGGUUGUAAACUUCUUUUAUAUGGGAAUAAAACGUUCCACGUGUGGCUUUUUGUAUGUACCAUAUGAAUAAGGAUCGGCUAACUCCGUGCCAGCAGCCGCGGUAAUACGGAGGAUCCGAGCGUUAUCCGGAUUUAUUGGGUUUAAAGGGAGCGUAGGUGGAUUGUUAAGUCAGUUGUGAAAGUUUGCGGCUCAACCGUAAAAUUGCAGUUGAAACUGGCAGUCUUGAGUACAGUAGAGGUAGGCGGAAUUCGUGGUGUAGCGGUGAAAUGCUUAGAUAUCACGAAGAACUCCGAUUGCGAAGGCAGCUUACUGGACUGCAACUGACACUGAGGCUCGAAAGUGUGGGUAUCAAACAGGAUUAGAUACCCCUGUAGUC